rnacentral:rRNA from 1 species
GGGGAUAACGUAGCGAAAGCUACGCUAAUACCGCAUACGAUCUAUGGAUGAAAGCGGGGGAUCGCAAGACCUCGCGCGAUUGGAGCGGCCGAUAUCAGAUUAGGUAGUUGGUGGGGUAAAAGCUUACCAAGCCUGCGAUCUGUAGCUGGUCUGAGAGGACGACCAGCCACACUGGAACUGAGACACGGUCCAGACUCCUACGGGAGGCAGCAGUGGGGAAUUUUGGACAAUGGGCGCAAGCCUGAUCCAGCAAUGCCGCGUGCAGGAUGAAGGCCUUCGGGUUGUAAACUGCUUUUGUACGGAACGAAACGGUUCUCUCUAAUACAGGGGGCUAAUGACGGUACCGUAAGAAUAAGCACCGGCUAACUACGUGCCAGCAGCCGCGGUAAUA